rnacentral:rRNA from 1 species
AGUCGAGCGGCAGCGGGAGGAAGCUUGCUUCCUCGCCGGCGAGCGGCGGACGGGUGAGUAAUGUCUGGGAAACUGCCCGAUGGAGGGGGAUAACUACUGGAAACGGUAGCUAAUACCGCAUAACGUCGCAAGACCAAAGUGGGGGACCUUCGGGCCUCACACCAUCGGAUGUGCCCAGAUGGGAUUAGCUAGUAGGUGGGGUAAUGGCUCACCUAGGCGACGAUCCCUAGCUGGUCUGAGAGGAUGACCAGCCACACUGGAACUGAGACACGGUCCAGACUCCUACGGGAGGCAGCAGUGGGGAAUAUUGCACAAUGGGCGCAAGCCUGAUGCAGCCAUGCCGCGUGUGUGAAGAAGGCCUUCGGGUUGUAAAGCACUUUCAGCGAGGAGGAAGGCGUUGUAGUUAAUAACUGCAGCGAUUGACGUUACUCGCAGAAGAAGCACCGGCUAACUCCGUGCCAGCAGCCGCGGUAAUACGGAGGGUGCAAGCGUUAAUCGGAAUUACUGGGCGUAAAGCGCACGCAGGCGGUCUGUUAAGUCAGAUGUGAAAUCCCCGGGCUUAACCUGGGAACUGCAUUUGAAACUGGCAGGCUAGAGUCUCGUAGAGGGGGGUAGAAUUCCAGGUGUAGCGGUGAAAUGCGUAGAGAUCUGGAGGAAUACCGGUGGCGAAGGCGGCCCCCUGGACGAAGACUGACGCUCAGGUGCGAAAGCGUGGGGAGCAAACAG